rnacentral:piRNA from 1 species
UGAGAGAGGUUUAUCGUGGGGGAA